rnacentral:rRNA from 1 species
UUAUGGCUCAGGACGAACGCUGGCGGCGUGCUUAACACAUGCAAGUCGAACGGGGAUUAGUUGAUAGAGAGCUUCGGCAGGAAAUUGAUAAUCGAGUGGCGGACGGGUGAGUAACGCGUGAGCAACCUGUCCCAGACAGGGGGAUAACACUUGGAAACAGGUGCUAAUACCGCAUAAGACCACGGGAUCACAUGGUUCCGGGGUAAAAGGAGCAAUCCGGUUUGGGGUGGGCUCGCGUCCGAUUAGCCAGUUGGCGGGUAACGGCCCACCAAAGCGACGAUCGGUAGCCGACCUGAGAGGGUGAACGGCCACAUUGGAACUGAGAGACGGUCCAAACUCCUACGGGAGGCAGCAGUGGGGAAUAUUGGGCAAUGGGCGAAAAAGCCUGACCCAGCAACGCCGCGUGAGUGAAGAAGGCCUUCGGGUUGUAAAGCUCUGUUAUAGGGGACGAAGGAAGUGACGGUACCCUAUAAGGAAGCCCCGGCUAACUACGUGCCAGCCGCCGC